CUCAAGAAGCCAGCCCAGUACUGGAAAAGUAUUCUAUGGACAGAUGAGACAAAGAUCAACCUGUACCAGAAUGAUGGGAAGAAAAAAGUUUGGAGAAGAAAGGGAACGGCACAUGAUCCAAGGCACACCACAUCCUCUGUAAAACAUGGUGGAGGCAACGGCAUGCAUGGGCAUGCAUGGCUUUCAAUGGCACUGGGUCACUUGUGUUUAUUGAUGACAUAACAGCAGACAAGAGUAGCCGGAUGAAUUCUGAAGUGUACCGGGAUAUACUUUCAGCCCAGAUUCAGCCAAAUGCUGCAAAGUUGAUCGGACGGCGCUUCACAGUACAGAUGGACAAUGACCCCAAGCAUACAGCCAAAGCUACCCAGGAGUUCAUGAGUGCAAAAAAGUGGAACAUUCUGCAAUGGCCAAGUCAAUCACCAGAUCUUAACCCAAUUGAGCAUGCAUUUCACUUGCUCAAAUCCAGACUUCAUACGGAAAGACCCACAAACAAGCAUGACCUGAAGGCUGCGGCUGUAAAGGCCUGGCAAAGCAUUAAGAAGGAGGAAACCCAGCGUUUGGUGAUGUCCAUGGGUUCCAGACUUAAGGCAGUGAUUGCCUCCAAAGGAUUCGCAACAAAAUAUUGAAAAGAAUAUAUUUUGUUUGGGUUAUGUUUAUUUGUCCAAUUACUUUUGAGCUCCUAAAAUGUGGAGUUUUUGUAAAGAAAUGUGUACAAUUCCUACAUUUUCUGUCAGAUAUUUUUGUUCAACCCUUUAAAUUAAACGUUACAACCUGCACUUGAAUUCUGUUGUAGAGGUUUCAUUUCAAAUCCAAUGCGGUGGCCUGCAGAGCCCAACUCGCGAAAAUUGUGUUACUGUCCAAAUAUUUCUGGCCCUAACUGUAUCCCUCCACCUGCAGUAGAGAAAGAUACUAAAAUAGGUUUAAUCUCACCUAGAGGUUUUUUCACACAUGAAUCUAAAGGAAAGAAAGGUAUUCGUAACUCUUCUUUUAACUUUUGCUAAAUAUUAUGUGAAAAUAUUCUCAGCUUGUGCUUAAGGUUUUGUUUAUUGAAUGACAGAUAUCAGCAGUGAGACAUUCACAGGCUUAAAUAAAAUUUGGAUUUGCUACAUUUGAUAUAUAUUUAAUCAAAGUAAAAUGGCAAUGAUGAUGUCAGAUGAGACUAAAACGUAAGUUUUGAGGCUAAAUCAGCAAAAUGUGAUGUUGGAUUUAAAAGUAACAACACGCAUAACCUUGAAGUGCUAAGCCAGUCUAGUUUAUUUUGUGCUAUUAUAUUUAUACCUGCAUUUCUCUAGUUGUUUUUAAUUGUGUUGAUGCUUUUUUCUGUCAGAAAGUUGAAGUACUUUAAACUAUAUCAUUAAUGCACAUAAUCAUCCAACACAUCUCACAGCUCUGUUUCAGCUCAAUGCAAACUAUUUGGCCUUGUCUAUUGUAGAGGAAUAUAAUUAUAUUCAUAGUUUAAAAUGAUGUUUGUUUGGGUGGUUUGCACUAAGAUAUGUUUUAAACAAAAGAAAAGUACUGCGUCAAAUGGACUGUGUCAAUCUGACCUAGACGUGGAGCGAUGUGGAUUAAUAAUCACCUAAGAGAGGGAAAAUGUUAGUCUUAAGCUGUUGUGCAAUAAAGUUCUGGCACCCGACCUUCCACCUGCUCGCCUGCAAAGGAACCGGGCUGGAACAAAGAUUAGGGACAGAGUUUGAAUUGCCGUCAUUAGCCGGGUUGAGCAGUAACUCAUCUGUUUGGUCGGAUGAGGAACAAACGACUCGACUGACGGAACAGAUUUGAUUCCAGGAGAUCAACUCCUAAGUCUGGGAACUUCCAAAUACACAUCCAGUGUAAAACGGAGCCAGAAUUAAUGCGCAAAUGAAGGGCAGUGUCACCACCUGAAGGAGGAGAACGGGAUGGAUGCCCAUGAAAAUGGAAAAGCUACCAGAUGAUCGUCCAGUUGAUCCGUUUCUCUGGCGAAGACUCUGACGUUCUCCAAUACAGACAAUAACUGAAUUGGAUGGUGAAUUGUAACAAUAAAUUUCUAAUUUUUUACGCA